rnacentral:rRNA from 1 species
UACGUAGGUGGCAAGCGUUGUCCGGAUUUACUGGGCGUAAAGAGCGCGCAGGCGGUCGUUCAAGUCGCGUGUGAAAGCCCCCGGCUCAACUGGGGAGGGUCACGCGAUACUGAUCGACUCGAAGGCAGGAGAGGGUAGUGGAAUUCCCGGUGUAGUGGUGAAAUGCGUAGAUAUCGGGAGGAACACCAGUGGCGAAGGCGACUACCUGGCCUGUUCUUGACGCGGAGGCGCGAAAGCUAGGGGAGCAAACGGG